rnacentral:lncRNA from 1 species
AACUUUAACAUUAAAUAUCUCAAGUGGAACACAAACAAUGUUUGCCCUAGCAGAGCGUUCUCUCUGAGCAAAAGAUUAUCAACUUUUUCGAAAUCUUACGUGAAAUAUAGAAGGAGAAUGAAGAAUUCAUCUACAUAGUCAUACAGUGUCUUUAUUUAUUAUAGUAGGUAAUUAUGAUUACACCAUGAUAUUAUUGUUUUCCAUUUCUUAUAUGAGUUCAUGAUGGCAAACAUAGUUGCAUAAUAUAAUAAUACAUAUGAUCUUUUCAUUGAAAUCAACUGGGAACAACAUCUGGAUCUAUAUCGUACUCAAUAGUGCAUUGACAAGAUAAAUUAAUGCACUUCAGAGUUAGAUCAGUUGGACACAUAUCUGGUGGACAUUCAGGGGUAAAUAGGCAUGGAGGAGCAUCUGGGAGGCCUAACAAGAACAAAAUAAAUGUUAAUAUAGGUGAUGGAAUAUUAUAUAUAAGUUAAAUUAUAAAUUUGAAAAUGAUAUGAAACAUUACUCACUUCCAUUGGUUGUGACCAGAAAUAGGGAAACAAAGAUGAGCAAAGCAUAAAAGAAACUUAGGAUUCGAGCCAUAAUUUUUUCUCUUUUGCAUGUGAUAAAUGGAAAAUAUUUUGAUCAAUUUAUAAAGAAAAGGUAAUGCUUUGUUAACUUCAAUGAAAUAGUUUUUAACCCUAGAAGGUGCAAGAAGUCGUUCAAAAAAUUGAAAUAGUUGGUAAAUGUUUCUAUAGAUGUGUCGUGUGUAUCUCUUUGCAAGCUCAGUUAGUCACUUAAUUUUAGUAAAUAUAUCAUAUAAGAAUCUUAAUAAUAAUCAAAGUUCAUUAAUUUUUUUCAUUAAACUUUUAAUAAAAUUUUUUUAUUUCUCUUUUAGCUUUUUAUGGUAGAUAAGAGACACAUAAAUCUUUUGGUGGAAAUAAAAAUGUAAAGAAAUAGACAGAUAUAAAAAUUUAAACACUAGUGACGAAUGACGCAAAACUUCAUAAACAGGGUUUUAUCAGCCAAAUUCGCAAAAAAAAAUUGGGUCGUUCUAAGCAAAUUCACAAUAAUCAAAGCAAAUAUGAUUACACUAGGUGAGAUUGAUGGUUAUAAUUGUGAUUCUUUAAAAAUUAAAGCAAAAAUAACAGUCACAGGAAAGAGGGUUACAAUUGUCACUCUUUAAAAAUUGGAUCUUGCACUUUGUUAAAAUAUUUCUCAAUAUAAAACAAUACGCUUAGGUGUAUGUGUAGUUUGAUUUGCAAGAGCAAAGAGUAUACUUGAAGAAAUAACACACAAAAAUUAUGAUGGUUAUUUAAUGUGGGCUAGUUUUUUGUUGUACAAGGCUAAAACAGAUAAGAAAAUUUCUGCCACAUCAUUUUGGAGGAGAUUUUUGAGGUUCAUUAGAGGAGACUCAUGUCGAAGAAAUUCAACAUCAGAAGAGGCACGAAGCUUUGCAAAAAAAUCUGCACAUUGAUUCUCUUCCCUAAGGGUGUGAUUAACCAUAACAUUUCCCUGCUCCAAUAACACUUUUAUAUCUUGGAUUAAAACAGAAUAAGCAUGAAACCUCAUUGGGGGGACCAUUGAGGAUGUUGAUACAAUGUAAAGCAUCAGAGUAGCAAACAAAAUCAAGAAUACCCAUAUAUUUGGCCAACAAGAGACCUUUAUAGAUAGCAUAGAGCUCAUCAUACAAGAUCAGAUGAAUUUUGAAUGUAUCCAGAAAAGCCUAACAAGAAAAAACCUGCAUAGUUUCUUAAAAUUCCUCCAUAGCCAGCUCUUACUGGAGAUCCAAGACAACUUCCAUCAACAUUAAGGUUGACACAAGAAUGAUUAUUGUUGGUCCACUUGAUGAAUUGUCUUCAUAGAUAGUAUUAGAGAUGGAAGUAUAACAAGCUUUGAGGGUAUCAACCAUGCCUUGAAUGUUGAAGGAUAAUUUAGCAUUUGACCAAUUCUCAUUGCCUAAGCACAUCAUGUUUCGAUUCCUCCAAGCCCACCAUAAUAUGGGCUAGUAUAGUCUUCGCAACUGUGAGAUUUCACUAUAGUAUUUAGAUAGAUGUUUUUUCUAUCAUGUGCAAUAGACAAUAAUUACAUCAAAGUUUCACCGGAAAUGAUACUGACAGCAAAACGGUUAACCAAUACCCAAACAACAAAAGGGGUUAUGGCACCAAUCAUGAAAAUUAUAAUAAAAUGUAACAGAAUAAGCUUUAGACAUGAGAAGAAAAGUAGCUUGAUAUUUUCCAAAAGCUGAGAUGGAGUGCUUUUUUUUUUUUUUUUUGCACGGAAAAUUCUAGCGUUCCCUUCCUUCCAAAUUAGUCAAGUGCUUGCAAACUUAAGUACAUAAAGGAGCACCGAGCUUUAGAGAUACCUGAAGAAAUAUUGAUCUGAAGAUAAUGAGCUGAUAUGGUUAAAGGGUUAACCGAAGAAACACCUAACCAAAGAUGAACCAACUGCCAAACCUGACCAAAUACUUCGCAAUGCAAGAAUAACUGAUCCGCUGAUUCAAUAUUUCCACAACCAGAGACACAAACUGAGCAUCUUCCUGAAUAAUCCUUCUCCGAUAUAAAUUGUCCUUCAUAGGCACUCUAUCACGGAGAAGCCGCCAAGCAAAGACUGAAACUUUAAGCAGGACAUUUUACCUCCAGAUGCUAGGCGCAGAAGCUGAUGUAGCAGAAGGCAUGGUUGCAAACUCAGCCAACAGAGAAUGGUAAACACCACGCACCGUAUAACUUGCUACUAAAUCAGGAAUCCAAUACAAGACAUCAUUAAUAUUAACCUGCAACACAACAAUUAGUAACAACAAUGUACACUCCACUAACUGCUCCUCCUCCCAGGCCCUCAAUCCCCUUCUCCACUUCCACGCCUCCCCUCCCUCGUCCCACCCCAGCUGGAACAUUUGCGCAGCAAUUAAAAAUUUAUUUUCAGACAAAUCAAAUAACCGAUGAAAACGAACCUGCAAGGGAACCUCACCUACCCACCUAUCAAACCAAAAUAAAGUACCUGCACAAUUUCCGACCUUUAAACAAACAUUAGAAAACCAAGUACCCACCAUCGAACCAACACCAUCCCGCAUAUUAGCAAUUUCCUUCCACCACGUCGACCCAUCCCUUCCGCCUGCCUGAACUCGGCCCUCCACUAGCCCAUACCUAGCGGCGAAGACAUUAUAUCAUAAGCCAUGUGAAGGUGAAAAACACAAGAAGGGGGGGGGGGUUGAAUUGUGUUUUCUUUUUCUCUUAAAAAGGGAUUCUUCUUCUGAUAAAACUUCAGAAGCAGUUUGAUUGCUUCUGAUGAAAUGAUCAGAGUCAGAUUGCAGCGGAAAAGAACAGAGCAGAGAAAAGAAAGACAAAGACACAAGCAGUUAUCCUGGUUCCUUCCACAACACGGAAGUAGUCCAGUCCCCCUUGCACUUCCAAGGAGAUUUCACUAUAAUCACAAAGAUUACAACUGCUCAAUACUUUCUAAGUAUGAGACUUCACAAAAAUGCUCAAGCACACACGCAAGAGUCUUCCAAUGCUCAAGCACUAAGCAAGAGACUUCUAAUGCUCAAGCACGCAGGCAAGAGACUUCUAAUCAAACAAAAAUACAGAGAAUUGAGUUUGAAUUGAACACUUGAUAUACAAUCAGUGGUGUUCACAAUGCAAUACAGAAAAGACUCUAGACUUUGAAUUUCUAAGAUGUAUCAAAUCAGUGCAGAAAUUCAGUGUGCUUUGUAGAAUCAAAUUGACAGAGUUUUGGCGCUUUUGAACUUAUGUAUCUCUCUCUGUUAUCUUCAAGUCUUCACUCCUUUAUAUAGAGGCGUGAAAGAGACGUUGAGAUAAUCAGCACGUCUAAAGAGUCGUUUGAAAUCCUUUGAUUAUCCACCAGUGAUCCUUUGCCUGAUUUGGGUGUAGUCCUUUGAAGAAUAAACUUCAAAUUCAUUCCCAUCUUGAGUGUACAAUUCUGCAGGCAUGGCUGUUGUUUUGUCUUGUAGCGUAGACAGAAAACAGAGUAGUGGAGGUAGUGGUUGUACACUUGUACUUUGUCAACUCUAUUAACGAGAGACAAGAGCUCAGUGCUAUCCAUAUAUCCGUUGAUACCUCCCUUUCAAUUCUUCGUUCUUCUUUGAUAAGACUGAAUUGAAAAUCAGCUACUUUGAAUCUUCAGUUUGAUUAAAGGAUCAAAUGUAGCUUCUGGUGAAGAUAUUGCUUCUGAUGAAAACUUUUGCUUCUGAUGACUUUCUGCUUCUGAUGACGUCAUCUCUUCAGGAGCAGUUUAGCUUCAGGAGCAGUUUUCUUCAGAUGCUCAGAAUUUCUUUUUCUUUCCAUUGUUCUUCCAAGACCUAUUGAAAUAACUUGAGUAGCCUUUGGUCCUGUACACUUGAACAAUUAUUAGUAAUAACCAAUUGACAAUUUUUAAUACCUUGUUAUCAUCAAAACUUAAUAAGGUUCAUUGUGAAACACAUUUUGUUCCAACAAUCUCCCCCUUUUUGAUGAUGACAAACAAUAGUAUUUAAAAUGUUCAAUUGUUGUUGAUCUAAUUAAUAAGUUGACUACUGGGACAGAGGUUUGUAAGCUCCCCCUGAGUCUAAUAGAUCUUUAAGGUGAGGUUUGUAAGCUCCCCCUAAGUUCUAUUCUUAUUAAUUAAAUUUCAAUAAAAUACUUAUAAAAUCAAAUCAGAAGUAUUUAAAAGAAAUUUAGAGUAGGGCUCAGUGCCUUAAAAAAUACUAUACAUUUACUCCCCCUUUUGUCAUCAACAAAAAGAAUAGAAACAAAAGAAAGAGUAUCAGAGCAAACAGCAUUAAAAACAGUAAAUAUCAUCAGAGUUAAAGCUUGUAAAACAUAUUGAAGGUGAAAAAGCACAAGAUCCAGAAACAAUGAUAAUAUAUAUAAAGAAAGAUUAAGAUACAAAGACACAGCUACUAAGAACAAAAGUAAAAAACAAGCUAGAGUUGGGUGUGCAACUAAGGUUGGGCUUGCUUAUACAACUGUUCUAAGAGAUACUUGAUCUGAUCAUCCUUCUUCUGAAGUAGCUCAUCCUUUUCCCUCAUUCUUCGUUUAUAUCCAGCCUGAAUUCUAGCAGCCCUAGUGAUGUACUCUUCUUCUGGAUAGAAAGGAGUGAUGUCCAGCAGAGGCACAAAGUUCAGCUCUUUCUCCUUAGCUGCUUCAUGCAUGUCAUCCAAAAGCUUCUUCAGCAUAGCAGAGUGAGAUGACACACAUUUAGUUCUAAGCUGAUCCAGCAGCUCAUCAAAGCUCUUCUGAAGAUCCAUCCACUGAUCAUAAUAGUGAAUAGGAGGUGCAGGAACUGUUCUGCGAAGAAUCAGUGCCUGAAUCUCAUCACUAAGUCUAAUCAGCUGUUCCUCUAUAUACUCAGACUCCAGGAUAUGGUCAGGGAUGGGUGAAGGUUCAGUUUGAGUUGUAUUUGAUGUGGAAGGUUGGUCAGAGGUUAAGUCUAUUAUAGUGGGUGAGUCUGGUUGUUGUUGUUGUUCUGUUGUUUGGUCAGAAGCUGUUUGGUCAGGAGCAACUUGUUCAGAAGCAGUUUGCUCCUGAACAGUUUGCUCAGGGAUGGUUUGGGUUUCUGUUUGGGUUUCCAAGACAGUCUUUUCAGAAACUGUCUUAGAGGCCUUAGUGGGUGUUGGUUGCAUUUCACCACCUAGAUGUUUUUCUAAGUUGUGAAGGGUUGAGGAUUCUUGGUGUUGGGGGGUUUCUGAAGUAGUUGCAUCUGAAGCUACUUCAGAGGCUUUUUGUGGAGUUUGGUUAUUUGGUGAGUUUGUUUGGGUAGGUUCAGGUUGUUGUAUACUAACAGGUUCUGGAGUAUCUGGAUAUAGUGGAUGAGUAGUAGGCAAAUUGAAUUUCUCACAAAGUUUUAUCCUAUUUUUUGAAAAUUCUAUUUGAGUACUCUCAUAGUCAAGUGUUCCAUACUCUGUUAGUUUGGUAGGUUUGGUUUUUAGAAGCUUGUUUAUAUGUUGGCUAAGGGGUUGGUCAUCUGAUUCUGUGGAUGAUGAAGAGGGUGAAGAGGGUAGAGAUAGAGACUGAGUAUUAGUUGGAGCUUUAGAUGGAUUACCUGAGGACUGAGCUUCUGGAUGAAUUGCUUCUGGAGCUUUUGAAGCUGGUUCUGAUGAAGUUGCUCCUGAAGCUUGCUUAUUCUUCAAGGCUUGAGAAAGCAGAGUUGCUCCAUACUGAACUGUUUCUUGCUCUAACUCAGAAGCUAAAGCAGCGAUGACAGGAGUAGGCACAUACCCUGCAGCCUUGAGACGCUCAUCCCUUUCUUUUUCAUACAACAUCUUCAUCCUUUUCUUUUCUGCUAUCUUGGAUGCAGAAACCUCCCUAGCAUACUGCCUCAUUUCUUCAGUCAUUUCAAAACUGGGCAUGACUAUGGGCUCAGAAGUUGCAGUCCUUUUUGCCUUCUUGGGGCUUGAGUCUUCAUCCCAAUUUUCUUCCAUUUCUUUCAACAUUUCUUCCCUUCUUCCUUCAGCUGUCUUCAGAUUUUUUGUUAAAUUAGACCUCUUCCUUUUGAUGGUCUGAAGAGCAGCUUCUCUUUUAUUUUUGGGACUUGAAGGCUUUUCAGAAGCAGCUUGAUCAGAAGCAGCUUGUUCAGAACCAGUUUGUUCAGAAGCAGGCUGUUCUGCUGUUUCUUGAGUACUCCUUGUCCUUUUUCUGAUAAGAGGGACAUCAUCCAAAUCCUCCACUUCCUCAAGAAUGGUGGACAUAGCAGAUUUUUCCUUCUUGGCUUUCUUAUGCUUCUGAGCAUCCACCUCAGUAGCAUCUUCAGCAAGGUAUUCUUCCUUGGUGAUCUGCUUCUUUUUAGAUUUUCUGCCUUUGGCCACAGGCAGAUCACCACCAUACAUUUCUUCUGGGAUAUCUUUCAGGCUGAUUUUCUUGUUGUAGUUCUUGUAGUAGUCUAAGAUGUAGGCCCUCUGCACAUCCAGGGGAUCUUUCUUGCAGAUAGGGAUGUGAUGAGUGACUAGAUCAGAUAUGACAUCAGAUUCAUGCAUAUCUGUAUCUAGUUUCCUGCAUGUUGAAAUCAGCCUCAUCUUGACUAAGGUUGCCCCAUUGAUUAUUUUUCCUGUGACUGCUCCCAACUUCUGAUUAUCAUAAAUACCCACGUCUUUCAGGGCACUUAGGAGUCCUCCUUCUUGAAAGAUUAUGGAGAGCAGCCUUCCAUAGGGAACAAACUUCCUGUUCUCCAUCUGGCUCUUCUUGAGUUCUUUGAUCAUGUAUUUAAACAUAUACUUAGGAACGUUCAUUGUUGUUUCCUGAGAGAUGGUGUGAUGCAGAAAGACUUUGUGACCAAGUGAAGGUUGAUCAUUUCCUCCACCUUUGGGAAAAAUGUUUUCAUUCUAGAUCUUCAGCAGCAUUUUCUUUUCCAUGCUUAAGGUGCUGUAAGGCUUAGCAUCCUUUGAUCCGUAGAUAGUGUUGUUUACUAUUUCCUUCCAAGGGCUUGUUCUGGGGUUAGGAAUCUCUUCUCCAUCGUAUGUCCCAGAAGCAUCUCUCCUCAUAGCUUGAGCAAUCACUUGCUCAUUGAUUGUUACAGGAAUCCCCAUGACGUUUGAUCUAAUCUCAGUCCCAGUGAAGGCGAGUAGACCCAUUUCUUCUCUGGUUUUUCCCUCCAAAGUAGGAUCAACCAGAAUCAUCUGAGCUUCUUCCUGUUUAGCAGCAACUUUGUCAAACACUGAAGCUCUUACCCAGAAUUGUCUGACAAGCACUUCAUAAGUAGGACCGUUGAGAAGACUGAAGUAACUCAUUAGCUUCUGCUUCUUGUAGAAUCUUACCAAGUCGCACCCAUGGUGAGUUAGAGAAGUGAAAUCCACAGGAUUUUCCGCUUGAAUGAUUAGCUCCCAUUCCUCAAUAGACAUAGUUCUUCCUUUGAUUUCAUAAGCAGGAGUAUCUAUAUCCAUAUUCGAUGAAGAACCACCGGCAGAACUUGAAGAUGCCAUUGAUUUGAAGUAGAAUUAGGGUUCUAAGGUGUUUUGAGAGGUUGAGAGAAUGUGCUUACUUACACAGAGGGUUGAGAGGAAAUAAGAAAGUGUUUGUUGUGAAGUGAGAAGUGUGUGAAAUGACUUAGUGUUUUUUAUUAAAACGUUUGUAAUUCAGAAGGGACAAACAAACACAACAUUAAUGACAAAUUGGGGGCGCGUGUAAGUAUGUUAAAAAGCGAAUAAAAACAUCAUUGCCCUUUUUGUUAUACUCCAAUACAAAUAGACCACGUCAGAGACUCUUCAGAAAACUACCUUUUGGGUAAUGGGACAGCUGUUACAUAAAGUAACUGCCAACGUUCCCACUAACCAAGCUUUUCAGAAGCAAAGAAUAACACUUCUGAAGUUUUAGUGCUGACGUCAUCUUCAGAAGCACAUUUUCCUCAGAACCUCAGUUAAGAGCUUCUGAUGAACCAAAAUGCUUCUGAAUAAACUUCAGAACCAAACUUCUUAUUCAGAGGCAAGCAAAUUUUCAAUCAGACACAAAAUGCAUGUUCAAAUUUUUCUUAAUAAAAUCAAAUCUUUCAACAGACAAAGGUUUUGUAAAUAUAUCAGCCCAUUGAUGUUCAGUAUCAAUGAAUUGUAUAUCUAAAAUUCCUUUUUGAACAUAGUCUCUGAUAAAAUGGUGUUUGAUUUCAAUAUGCUUGGCUCUUGAAUGUAGAAUUGGAUUCUUUGACAAACAAAUAGCAGCAGUAUUAUCACAAUAAAUGGGAAUACUGUUAGCAUUGAUCUGAUAGUCUUCCAACUGAUGUUUCAUCCAAAGUAGUUGUGUGCAACAACUUGCAGCUGAAAUGUACUCUGCUUCUGCUGUAGACAUAGCAAUAGUUGCUUGUCUUUUGCUUGCCCAGGAUAUCAGAUUCUCUCCCAGGAAUUGACAAUUUCCACUGGUUGAUUUUCUUUCAAUCCUAUCACCAGCAUAAUCAGCAUCACAGAAUCCAAUCAACUUAUAAUCUAGGGAUUUCCUAUACAGGAGUCCAAGAUUAGUUGUUCCUUUCAGAUACCUGAAGAUUCUCUUAACUGCAGUUAAAUGAGAUUCUCUAGGAUCUGAUUGAAAUCUUGCACACAAGCAUACACUGAAUAAAAUAUCAGGUCUAGAUGCAGUGAGGUAUAACAGAGAACCAAUCAUACCUCUGUAUAGCUUCUGGUCUACUACUGUUCCAGUAUCUUCUUUGCUUAAAGUGCAGGUUGGAUGCAUUGGAGUGUUCAUCACUUUACAAUCUUCUAGCUUGAACUUCUUCAGAAGCUCCUUUGUAUAUUUUGUUUGAUGAACAUAUACUCCUUCUUUACUUUGGUUGAUUUGAAUUCCCAGAAAGAAUUUCAAUUCUUCCAUCAUACUCAUUUCAAAUUCAUCCUGCAUUAACUUAGAAAAUUCUUUGCAAAGAGAUGCAUUAGUAGAACCAAAUAUUAUAUCAUCAACAUAUAUUUGCACAAUCAAAAUAUCUUUCUUAAGAGUCCUUCUGAAGAGUGUUGUGUCAACUUGUCCUCUUUCAAAAUCAUUUUUAAUUAAGAAAUUACUUAGUCUAUCAUACCAAGCUCUGGGAGCUUGUUUCAAGCCAUAUAGUGAUUUCUUAAGUUUAUAAACAUGGUCAGGAUGCUUAAGAUCCUCAAACCCAGGAGGUUGUUUAACAUACACUUCUUCUUCAAUGACACCAUUAAGAAAGGCACUUUUGACAUCCAUUUGAUAUAAUAUUAUGCCAUGAUUAAUUGCGUAGGAUAGAAGUAACCUGAUUGCUUCCAAUCUUGCAACUGGAGCAAAUGUUUCAGUGUAAUCAAUGCCUUCUUGUUGACUGUAGCCUUGAGCAACAAGUCUGGCUUUGUUUCUGGUUACUUCUCCUUGUUCAUUCAGCUUGUUUCUGAAUACCCAUUUUGUUCCAAUAAUGUUUUUCUGAAAAGGUUUGGGUACCAGAUCCCACACAUCAUUCCUUUGGAAUUGAUUUAGCUCUUCUUGCAUAGCUAAUAUCCAUCCAUCAUCUGUGAGAGCUUCUUCAACAGUUUUAGGCUCAAUUAUUGAAAGCAGUCCUAUUAAUGAUUCUUCUUGUCUAAAAUGUGAUCUUGUUCUUCUAGGACUAUCUUUGCUUCCAAUGAUUAGCUCCUCAGGAUGUGAAGAUUUGUGCUUGAAUUUAGGUUGAAUAACCUGCUGAGUGUUAUCUUGAAAGUCCUCAGAAGCAAUUUCAUUCUGUACUUUUGGGCUAUGUUCUGCUUCUGAAUUAGACUCAGCUUCUGGAGUGAUUUCAGUUUCUGGACUAGAUUCAACUUCUGUAUACUUUUCAGAUUCAGAAGGUUGAUCAGAUUCUGAUGCAUCUUCAGAAUCAGUUGUACCUGCAUUACUUUCACUUUGCUCUGAAGUUUUACUUUCAGGCUCUCUAUCAUCAAAUUUUACAUGCAUAGAUUCUUCAACACAUUGUGUUUCUGAAUUAUACACUCUGUAUGCCUUUGACCUUUCAGAGUAACCUAAAAAUAUUCCUCUUUGAGCCUUGACAUCAAAUUUCUUCAGAUAGUCUUUAGUGUUUAAGAUGUAACAAGUACAUCCAAACUGAUGAAAGUAAGAGAUAUUGGGUCUUCUUCCUUUAAAGAGUUCAUAUGCUAUUUUCUCCAACAUAGGUCUGAUAUAGAUCCUAUUUUGAAUAUAACAUGAAGUAUUGACUGCUUCUGCCCAAAAAUGUUUAGCUAAGUUGUUUUCAUGGAUCAUGGUUCUGGCCAUUUCUUGUAAGGUUCUGUUCUUUCUUUCUACAACCCCAUUUUGUUGUGGAGUUCUACGAGAAGAAAACUCAUGGUGAAUCCCAUGUUUUUCACAAAAAAGUUCAAAUGGCUCAUUUUCAAAUUCUCCACCAUGAUCACUUCUGACUUUCAAAAUUUUCAAUUCUUUUUCAGAUUGUAUUUGAGUGCAGAAGCUGCUAAACACUUCACAUGCAUAGUCUUUACUUUUAAUGAAUUUUACCCAAGUCCAUCUGCUGUAAUCAUCAACAAUGACUAAUCCAUAUUUACUUCCAUAUAAAGAUGCAGUGUUAACUGGACCAAAAAGAUCAAUAUGGAGUAAUUCUAAGGGUCUGGAGGUUGAUACAAUGUCUUUAGAUUUGAAAGAAUUUUUCACAAUUUUCCCUUUCUGACAUGCACCACAAAGUGCAUCUGAAUGAUAAUCAAUGUUAGGCAAUCCUUUGACCAGUUGUAACUUGCUAAUUUUAGAAAUUAAUCUCCAAUUAGCAUGUCCCAACCUUUUAUGCCAUACCCAUUUUUUAUCAUUCAUUGACAGAAGGCAAACUACCUUCUGAUCAGCCAGAUCAGAGAAAUUUAUUUUAUAGACAUUCUCAACUCUCUUUCCCUUGAAUGUAAUGGAUUUGUCAUCCUUGUUGACUAGUGUGCAGUUGGUCUUACUGAACGUUACAUCAUACCCAUUGUCACAAAAUUGACUAAUGCUCAAUAGGUUAUGCUUCAUACCAUCUACUAGCCACACAUUAUUAAUUGAGAUGGAGGAAUUACCAAUAGUACCUGUACCAAUGAUCUUUCCAGUUUGGUUGCCACCAAACUUCACUUCUCCUCCAUCUUUCAUUGUAAGGGUAAGGAACAAAGCUUUCUCUCCAGUCAUGUGCCUUGAACAUCCGCUGUCUAGGUACCAUGACCUUUGUUUCUCUCUUGCCCUUAAGCACACAUCAUUUUCAUCUUCUGAAUCUGAUUCAGCUUCUGAUACUGUUUCUGAUGAUACUGCUGCCACUAACCCAACGGCUGCCUUAGCAUCAUCAUCAGCUUCUUCUUUAUCAGAACCAGAUUCACUAUCCAAAUCUUCCCAGGUCGCCAUCAAGCUCUUUUUGAUUUGCUUUCUGAAUUUACUGGAGUUGAAGCUUGAUUUCUUGGAUUUGCCUUUAAACUUCUCCUUCUGAAGAUCAGGGCAAUCAGCAAUGAAAUGACCAGGCUUCUUACAAUUGAAGCAUCCCUUCUGAUCUUCUUUCUUGAAGUUCUUGUAGCUACCUCUCUUGCUCAAAAAUUUCUUCUGCUUCCUUGCCAGAUACUCAAGCUUGUUGGACAGCAUAGCCAUCUUUACAGAUUGAUCUUCAUCAGAAUCUCCAUCAGGUGAUUCUUCUUCAGAUUCACUGGCUUUGUAGGCUUUGGAAGACUUUGAGGUCUUUCCUUUAGAUGGUAAAGCAAUGGAUUUACUCUUCUUAGAGGUUUCAUGCUCAUUUAGACUCAUUUCAUGCACUUUGAGUGAGCUAACAAGAUCUUCAACACUUAAAGUAUUUAGAUCCUUAGCUUCCUCAAUGGCAGUUACUUUGGGUCUCCAUCUUGAAGGUAGGCUUCUCAAAAUCUUACUAACAUGAUCAGAAGAAACAUAGCUUUUCUUCAGUAUUUGCAAUCCAGAAACUAAAGUUUGAAAUCUUGAGUACAUUUCUUCUAUACUCUCAUCAUCCUUCAUUCUGAAAAGUUCAUACUGAUGAACUAGCAUCAAAGCUUUAGCCUCUUUUACUUUCUUGCUGCCUUCAAAGUUUGCACAAAGAGAAGCAAACAUAGCUUUCGCAGUAGAUUUGUCACUCAUUUUCAUGUAUUCGGUGCGAGGUAUAGAAGCCACAAUGAUUCCUCUUAUCUUGUGGUGUUUCUUAUAAAGCUUCUUCUGAGCAGGAGUAUGUAUUCUUCUGUCUAUAGCAGCUCCUUCUUCAUCCAAAUCCAGAUCAUCAACUCCAUCUUCCAGUAUAUCCCAUAGCUCUUCAUCCAAUCCCAUGAUAAAGCUGUACAUAUUAGUUUUCCACCAUGAAAACUCUUCUGGAUCUCCAUUAAACUUUGGAGCUUUUCCAGAGUCUGUUUUCUUGUCAGCAGUAUCAUAGUCAUGCUUGACACUUGUGUAUUUUGUAGUAACUGAUUCCUCAUCUCCAGACAUGUUUUUCUAAUAGAUCUUGAACUGUAACACGGUUAAGUGCUGUGAUAACAGAGCAAGCUCUGAUACCAAUUGAAGGUGAAAAACACAAGAAGGGGGGGGGGGGGGGGGGUUGAAUUGUGUUUUCUUUUUCUCUUAAAAAGGGAUUCUUCUUCUGAUAAAACUUCAGAAGCAGUUUGAUUGCUUCUGAUGAAAUGAUCAGAGUCAGAUUGCAGCGGAAAAGAACAGAGCAGAGAAAAGAAAGACAAAGACACAAGCAGUUAUCCUGGUUCCUUCCACAACACGGAAGUAGUCCAGUCCCCCUUGCACUUCCAAGGAGAUUUCACUAUAAUCACAAAGAUUACAACUGCUCAAUACUUUCUAAGUAUGAGACUUCACAAAAAUGCUCAAGCACACACGCAAGAGUCUUCCAAUGCUCAAGCACUAAGCAAGAGACUUCUAAUGCUCAAGCACGCAGGCAAGAGACUUCUAAUCAAACAAAAAUACAGAGAAUUGAGUUUGAAUUGAACACUUGAUAUACAAUCAGUGGUGUUCACAAUGCAAUACAGAAAAGACUCUAGACUUUGAAUUUCUAAGAUGUAUCAAAUCAGUGCAGAAAUUCAGUGUGCUUUGUAGAAUCAAAUUGACAGAGUUUUGGCGCUUUUGAACUUAUGUAUCUCUCUCUGUUAUCUUCAAGUCUUCACUCCUUUAUAUAGAGGCGUGAAAGAGACGUUGAGAUAAUCAGCACGUCUAAAGAGUCGUUUGAAAUCCUUUGAUUAUCCACCAGUGAUCCUUUGCCUGAUUUGGGUGUAGUCCUUUGAAGAAUAAACUUCAAAUUCAUUCCCAUCUUGAGUGUACAAUUCUGCAGGCAUGGCUGUUGUUUUGUCUUGUAGCGUAGACAGAAAACAGAGUAGUGGAGGUAGUGGUUGUACACUUGUACUUUGUCAACUCUAUUAACGAGAGACAAGAGCUCAGUGCUAUCCAUAUAUCCGUUGAUACCUCCCUUUCAAUUCUUCGUUCUUCUUUGAUAAGACUGAAUUGAAAAUCAGCUACUUUGAAUCUUCAGUUUGAUUAAAGGAUCAAAUGUAGCUUCUGGUGAAGAUAUUGCUUCUGAUGAAAACUUUUGCUUCUGAUGACUUUCUGCUUCUGAUGACGUCAUCUCUUCAGGAGCAGUUUAGCUUCAGGAGCAGUUUUCUUCAGAUGCUCAGAAUUUCUUUUUCUUUCCAUUGUUCUUCCAAGACCUAUUGAAAUAACUUGAGUAGCCUUUGGUCCUGUACACUUGAACAAUUAUUAGUAAUAACCAAUUGACAAUUUUUAAUACCUUGUUAUCAUCAAAACUUAAUAAGGUUCAUUGUGAAACACAUUUUGUUCCAACACCAUGUCUCUCUGUCACCAACCUCCAGCACCACUUCCCCAGCAAUUCUAAGUUAAAUUCCCUAAUUCUCCUCACCCUCAAACCACCAACCUCAUUAUCCAAACAAAUAGUAUUCCAAUGAAUCCAAGAAAUUUUCCUAUUAUCCUCACAUCCUCCAAAAAAAAAAAACAAAUAAAAAGAUAUUCGAUAGAGGAGCUUGUUGUUGGCGCCUUUUUGGAACUGCGGCGGAUUCUGCGCAACCUCCAACAAAGCUACCAAGGUACUCAACUUCUCUAACUCGCCCCGCAGUGUUGUCACCUCUUCACGAAGCUCGUGGAUUUCUUGCUCGAUCGUAUCCAUUUCCUUUUUAGUGUUUGCAUGAGUAUUGUAGGUGCGAGUUGGCUUAGGGUGAGGACGUCGAGCCACUUUCGAGGCAGAUUGACCUUUUGUAUGAAAGAGCAAUAUGUGAGACUCAGACCUUUGAAACUAUGAAUUCAUAAUGAUGCAUGAUUUUUAUGAAAAAAGGACAAUUUUAUUUAUUUUUGAAGGACUUUCAAAGCAUUUGUGAACAUCACAGAGAACCUUGUUUUAUUUAACAAUUUUUUAGGUUUACAAUCAGUUCCUUUUUUAGAAGCAAAAAAAAAAACGCUAGGAAAAGAAGUCCCUAACAAAAGCUAAAGUCUAGUUAAGACUUUUGAAGAUGUAUUUCUUGGUGCUCCUUUUUACAAGGUCCAUAUAUGUGAUGUUUACAAGACGACUUAUCUAAGUCCUUCGAUAUUAAUGAGAAUUUUUUUUGAAUGCAUGCAUGCAUGAUAAUGCAACAAAAACAUUGAAAACAUGGUUUAUGGUUUAGGCCCAUGGUGAUGGACUCAAGGGUAAGAGCCCCCAUAUGGUAAGGACUAUGGUUUCAUUUGUUGCUGCAUUAUGGGUUCUACCAAGUUCCCAAAGUCAUUGACCCUUUCCGGAUAUCAUUGGCUUACAAGACUGACUUCUGGUCCAACAAUAUUCGCAAGAGAAUCUAUGCAGCUCGACUGAUCUCAUUUUCUUUUUCUGGAUCUUCGAGAUGUACGUUGUGAAAUGAAUCUUAGACAUUUUCAUGAAUAAAUUUUUUUGCACUAAAUCAAUAUCCUUUUGUAAAAUAGGGCAGUUUUGUAAAAUAUUCGCAGAUUGUACAUGCUCAAGAAUAGGGAUCAAAUCCCAUUUAAUAUUUUCGCCAAUCAUCGCAUAUGUUGCAUUAAACAAAGACAUAUGGAAUGAAGUGCUUACCUUGGUUUGGUCAACUUGCUUUUCGACUUCACUUCCUUUCUCCAUAGUUUAAUCCACAUUAAUCAAUUGCUGCUUCAUGUGAUCAACUGGUUUCGACGUGAUGUAUGUGUCCAUGUUGACCACUUUCUUUGGUACAUCUUGCUACAAAAGUUUCUUUGAUGUUGGCUAAUCUUUAUCGAAAGGUUUCUUCCUGAGAACAAUUGUUUGUGGGGAUGGAUUCAUUUGCAAGUCGAAACGGAACGACCUAUGACAUGGUAAUGAGACCAACAUUCAAGGAGUCGGUCGUAAGUUACUUGUCAUAAAAAUUGUAUCCAUAUCCAUUAAAAUUCUUGCAUAGUGACCGAAAAGUUUGUUCUGUUUGUAUCGUCUAGAUUUAAUAGUGUGCCAACGACACUAGCAAUUUUGAAGAGCAUCUGAUCCUACCAAUAUUCUUGUGGCAAAUAAAUUAAACGGAUCCAAACCCGUACAUGAGUUUGACAUUGAGUAAUAAGAUUAAAGUCCUCUUGCCGUUGCAAUAUUUGAUGGACACCCGAUUUAAGAUUCAUAGUGUUCCUAGCUCAUACUAAACAUAAAUCUUCAUAGUUUGAAAACUUAAAAUCAUAAAACCCACGUGUGAGAGAAAUCAUUUCCCAUCGCCAUGUAGUAUUUCACAGCUUGGAAAGCUUAAGCAUCAAAUCCUUCACGCUAUACGACUUAUCUCCUUUGUGACUCUAAAAUGAAAAGCUAUUAGAAAUAAUUUUUCACAAUUUUAUUUUUUUUUUGAAAUGUUAACUAGUGCCUUCGGGGCACUAGUUAAAGACUACAAGUGGUAAGUAUUUAUGAAAAUGUGUGUAUUAAUUGCAUUGGAAAUUGAAAUAUUUGAUUUUUUUUAAAAUAAUUGUUUAUAUUAGUAUGCUUAAAGAGUGACCCGAAGGCACUCGUUAACAAGACUCUCCAAAACAAGGAGAUAACACGUGUACAAACUAAAACUUUUUUUUAAAUGAUUUUUAUGGUUAAUAUGUUGGAACAAAAUGUGUUUAACACUACCCUUUAGAGUUUUGAUGAUAACAAGGUAUUAAAAAUUGUCAAUUGGAUAUGCUAAUAUUUGUUCAACUGUGCAGGACCAUAGACAAAAAUUUAAUGUCUCUUUGAAGCUUAGAUUCUGGAAGAACAAAUGAGAGCAAUGGAAUCAACAAGAUGGAAGCUUGAAGCAUCUGAAGAAAAGAGGUUCUGAAGUCAAGUGCUCCUGAAGUGAUGAUGUCAUCAGAAGCAAGUUCAUUAGAAGCACCUCAUCAAAAGCAUUAUCACCAGAAGCAGUUUUUCAUCAGAAGCUGAAGAUCAUCAGAAGAUGAGAGAAUUAAAGCUUCAAAGGCUGUUCAAAAUAUUUAAUCAUCAGAAGUCAAAAGAGUGAAGCAACGGCUAAUUCAAAAGGAUUUGAAUGCAUUAGAUGUUUGUUCUUUGAAGAGCGUUGAAAAAGGACAAUUGUACGAAGUGUACAACCACUACUCUCUUUGUGUCUACAUCAGGACAAGAAUAACAGCUAUGCCUGCAACGAUGUUCCUCCAUACUUGGAAUGGAUUUGAAAUUGAUCCUUCAUAGUAUAAUAACCAAAUCGGGAAAAAGAUCAUUGGUGAUUUGAUCAAGCUUCAAACGACUCUUUUUGAUGUGUUGGGAAUUCACAACGUCUCUUUCACACCUCUAUAUAAAGGAGUGAAGACUUAGAGAAUGACAAGACUCAUACAACAAUUUACAAGUGUCAAAACUCUGUCAAAAUUGUUCUGCAUCAAAAGUUCACUUAGAAUUUCUUAACAACUUUCAUAUCUUAGAAAUUCUAUAGUCUUAAGAGUCUGUAUCUGAUUUGUAUUGUGAAUACCACUAAUUGUAUAUCAAGUGUUCAACCUCAAACAUAUUUAUUUGCAAUUCUAUUUGAAUAGAAGUCUCUUGCUUUUGUGCUUGAGUAUAGAAAGUCUCUUGAUUUAGUUCUUGAGCAUAGGAAAUCUCUUUCAGUCUUGAGUAGUUUGAAGUCUCUUGGUAGUUUUAGCAGUGAGCAAUUGUAAUCAAAUAUUACAUUUUUAGUGGACUCUCCUUGGAAGUGCAAGAGGAAUAUGACUACUUCCGGUUUGUGGAAGGAACCUCUAUAAUUGCUUUGUGUCUUUCUUCUCUCUCUCUCUCUCUCUCUCUCUCUCUCUCUCUCUCUAUCUUUUUAUCCGCUGCAUUUAGAAUCUGAACAUCACUUCAAAAGCUGAAUUCUAUCUGCUUCUGAUCAGUGACUUCAGUAGGAAAAAACUAACACAAUUCAACCCCUCCACUACUCUCUUUGUGUCUACAUCAGGACAAGAAUAACAGCUAUGCCUGCAACGAUGUUCCUCCAUACUUGGAAUGGAUUUGAAAUUGAUCCUUCAUAGUAUAAUAACCAAAUCGGGAAAAAGAUCAUUGGUGAUUUGAUCAAGCUUCAAACGACUCUUUUUGAUGUGUUGGGAAUUCACAACGUCUCUUUCACACCUCUAUAUAAAGGAGUGAAGACUUAGAGAAUGACAAGACUCAUACAACAAUUUACAAGUGUCAAAACUCUGUCAAAAUUGUUCUGCAUCAAAAGUUCACUUAGAAUUUCUUAACAACUUUCAUAUCUUAGAAAUUCUAUAGUCUUAAGAGUCUGUAUCUGAUUUGUAUUGUGAAUACCACUAAUUGUAUAUCAAGUGUUCAACCUCAAACAUAUUUAUUUGCAAUUCUAUUUGAAUAGAAGUCUCUUGCUUUUGUGCUUGAGUAUAGAAAGUCUCUUGAUUUAGUUCUUGAGCAUAGGAAAUCUCUUGCAGUCUUGAGUAGUUUGAAGUCUCUUGGUAGUUUUAGCAGUGAGCAAUUGUAAUCAAAUAUUACAUUUUUAGUGGACUCUCCUUGGAAGUGCAAGAGGAAUAUGACUACUUCCGGUUUGUGGAAGGAACCUCUAUAAUUGCUUUGUGUCUUUCUUCUCUCUCUCUCUCUCUCUCUCUCUCUCUCUCUCUCUCUAUCUAUCUAUCUUUUUAUCCGCUGCAUUUAGAAUCUGAACAUCACUUCAAAAGCUGAAUUCUAUCUGCUUCUGAUCAGUGACUUCAGUAGGAAAAAACUAACACAAUUCAACCCCCCCCCCCCCCCCCUCCGGGUGUGUUUUUCUCACCUUCAUAAUAAACAAACAAAAAUAUCUUCAAAUCUUUAUUAAGAUCUCAAAAAAAAUCUCUAGAUUCUCUGCAUAUAAAAUCUGCUGUUUUUUUAAAAGUUAAAGCAAACACAUCCUAAAUCUAAAAUAACUGUUGCACAUGGGAAUCAUUUUUUCAAGACAGCGCUCUGCCCCAGCAAAGCGUUCUCUCCAAACAAAAGAUGAUCAACUUUUUUGAAAUCAUACGUGAAAUAUAGAAUUAUAAUGAAGAAUUCAUCUAUAUGAUCGUAAAGUGUCUUUAUUUAUUAUAGUAGGUAAUUAUGAUUACACUAUUGUUUUCCAUUUCUUCUAUGAGUUCAUGAUGACAACAUAGUUGCAUAAUAUAACAAUACAUAUGUUUUUUUCAUUGAAAUUGACAACUUAAUCUAUAUCGUACUCAGAAGUGCAUUGACAAGUUAAAUUAAUGCACUUCAGAGUUAGAUCAGUUGGACACAUAUCUGGUGGACAUUCAGGGGUAAAUAGGCAUGGAGGAGCAUCUGGGAGGCCUAACAAGAACAAAAUAAAUGUUAAUAUAGAUGAUGGAAUAUUAUAUAUAAGUUAAAUUAUAAUUUUGAAAAUGAUUUAAAACAUUACUCACUUCCAUUGAUUGCGAUCAUAAAUAGGGAAACAAAGAUGAGUAAAGUAUAAAAGAAAUAAAGGAUUCGAGCCAUAAUUUUUGCGCUUUUGCAUGUAAUAAAUGAAAAAUAUUUUGAUCUUUAUAAACAAAAUGUAAUGCUUUGUAAACUUCAAUGAAAUAGUUUUUAACCCCUAGGAGGUGCAAGAAGCCAUUCAAAAAAUUGAAAUAAUUGGUAAAUGUUUCUAUAUUACAUCAAUCUGUCUUGUUUAUCUCUUUACAAGUUCAACUGAUCACUUAGUUUUAGUAAAAUAUUAUUUAAAAAUUUUAAUAAUCAUCAAAGAUCAUUCAUAUUUUUUUUAUUAAACUUCUAAUUUAUUUUUUAUUUCUCUUUUACCUUUUUAUGGUAAAGAAGAGACACAUAAAAAUAUUUGGGUAGAAAUUUAAACAUUAUUGACGAAUGAUGAAAAACUCUUUGGGUAGAAAUCAUUCACCGAUCAGGUGACAAUACUUACUUAUUCCUGAGAAACUAAAAUAACCAUAUUAUAAUGUUAUUUUAUUGACAAUUUUCCAUACUUGUAACACAUGUUAGAAAUAAGACCACACUCGAUUGGUACGUUAGUUAGAAAUAUAUUCUAUGUUAAGGGAUAUUGUAUAUUAUAUUUUUGGGGCCGGAGUUUAAACCCAUACAUUUUAUUUUUUCACAAUUAAAUUGUGUGAGCUCUAACCAUUAAGUUAUUUAAUAAAAAAAGACUACUUGACAAAAAAAAAUUAUAAACAGGAUUUUAUCAGCCAAUUUUGCUAAUAAAAAAUUGGCUCGCUCUAAGGAAAUUCACAAUUAUCAAAGCGGCUAAUGAUUAAACUAGGUGAGAUUGAUGGAACCCAUGCGUCGUUUUCAUGUUAAAAAGUAUCUUUAGGGUAUCAUUUAAGCAUCCAAAAGUAGUAGUUUUUAUAUUGGAAAUUAUGUAGCAUGACUUUUAUGUUUAUUUGAUUUAUUUUUAAGACAAAUUUUUUUUGUAGAUUCCUUAAGCAAUACCCUCAAAAUAUUUGUUAGCGAGACCUUUCAAAUUGAAGUAAAAAUAACAGUGACAAAAGAGGGUUAUAAUUGUGACUAUUUAAAAAUUGGAUCUUUCACUUUGUAAAAAAAAUUUCUCAAUUUAAAACAAUACACUUAACUGUAUGUGUAGUUUGAUUUGCAUGUACCGAGAGUAAAGAGUAUAGUUGCAGAGUUAACACACAAGAACUAUCAUGGUUAUUUAGUUGAAGAGUAUAGUCCUCACAACCGUGAGAUUUCACUAUUGUAUUUAGAUAACCUUUUCCAAUCUUCCCUCACACCUUAUAUCACUCUUUUUCUUACACCUUAGUUUAUCAUAGCCUUUUCAGACUACUAACACUACUAUCACUUAAUCCUUUUUUACAACCUAAAUAAGAUUAAAGGCGUUUUAAAAAAAAAAAAAAACUGAUAGGAGUUUGACUAUGAUCUCAAUUAGUGUAUUUUGUGUAUGAUUCUAAAUUACACUUUGAAUGAUGUUAAAACAUCUAUACUAUACGAGCGAAAAGAUAGAAACUUCCAAAUAAUUGGAUCUCUCUCCAAUCUUCUCUUCUUGCAUCCUAAAGUUCUUCUCUUCUAGCUCAUCUCUUCUCUCAGAUAUUCCUUAUUAGUUGUAAACCUAAUUCUCCAAAGACUACAAUCUAUUUAUAUUUUCUUGUUUGGCCUUGGUUCUCUCACAUCAUUUAAUGGACUAAGUUUCUAUCAUAUUUAUUUUCGACAAAUAAAACUUUACUCGGUAAUUCGACUUAAACCUCCUAUUUACCCAUACACCUCUAUUCUCUAAAUUUCUAGUAAUUAACUAACCCAUAAAUUCAACCACGUUAAAUAAAAGUAAUAAACACAUAAAUUUCUAAAUACUACUAAUAUUACUAAUAUCACAUAAAAAUUAUAACAUUAAUAAACUAGUAAUAAAAAUUGGGAUGUUACACAUUUAGAGCAAUAAUUUCCUUGUGCUCAAAACUUUUUAGGGCUGGCCUUUUGCAGUGAGAUUCAACAUUAAGAUUCGCCAAUUGCACAUGCUUAAGAAUAGGGAUCGAAUCCCCGUUAGUAUUUUCCCCAAUCAUCUCAUCUGUUGCAUUAACCAAAGGCAUAUGCAAUGAAGUUCUUACCACGGUGAGGUCAACUUGCUUUGCGACUUCACUCCCUUUCUACACGGUUUCAUCCACAUUAAUCAAUCGAUGCUCAAUGUGAUCAACUGGUUUCAACGUGUUGGUUGUGUCCAAGUUGACCCUUUUCUUUAGUACAUAUUGCUAUAAAAGUUUCUUUGAUGCUGGUAAUCUUUAUCCAAAGGUUUCUUUCUGAGAACAAUUGUCUUAUGGGGAUGGAUCCAUUUAAAAGUUGAAACGGAAUGACCUAUGAUAAAUCGUAUCCAUAUCCAUUAAAAUUCUUGCAUAGUGAUCGAAAAGUUUGUUAUGUGUUGGAUCGUCUAGAUUUAAUGGUGUUGCAAUGACACUGGCAAUUUUAAAGUGUGUCUGAUCAUGCCAAUAUUCCUGUGGCAAAUCAAUUAAAUGGAUCCAAACUUAUGCAUGAGUUUGACGUUGAGUAAUAUGAUUAAAGUCCUUCUGCCAUUCAGAUAUUUGAAGGACAGCCAAACAUAAAUCUCUGUAGUUUGAAAACUUGAAAUUACAAAACCCACGUUUGAGAUAAAUUAUUUUUCACCUGUAGUAUUCCACAACUUGGAAAGCUUAAGCUUCAGUCAUUCGCACAGGGGCGGAUCUAGAUAUGAUGGUUUGAUGUGGCAAAAUUAUAAAAGAAUUUUUUUAGUGUACAUUUGAUUUAUAAUAUAAUAGCAAAGUAGCUAAAGCAAGUUUGUUACAUAUCUAUGUCUCAGGUUCAAAUCUCAUCCACCACACUUUUGAUGAUUUUCUCCUUAAAAUAUUAAAAAAAAGUUUAAAUAGAUCACACAUUAAUUUGUGAAACAUUGUCAAAUUAUGUGAUAUAUAUUAUGUUUUCGGUCUACUAUAUUAACUAAAAAAAUUUGGCUGUAAUCUGGUGUGGCAGCUGCCACACCAUGCCUAACACUAGAUCCGCCCAUGUUCGCGCUAUACAUCUUAUCUCCUUUGUUUAGAACCAAUCGACCAUGAAUUCUCAUAUGCAUAAUGGGUAAUCUUGAUACAUAAAGAAUCUAAAGUAUUAAUCUGAUUUUGAGAAUCCAUAUUGCUCAGCCAAUUGAAAAAUUGAUACACACGAAAAGCAAAACGAAAUUGUUCACCCAAAACGAUCAAAGAAAGAUCACGUAACCAAGUAACAAACAUCAAUCAUUAUUGUAACAAAACAAUGGAUUCCCCAAUUUCAGUAGACUAAAGCCUGUUUGUUUCAGAUAUUUUUUUCUAAAAAAAACACUUUUGUUAUUUUUAAGUGUUUGUUUAAGAUUUUAAAAAAAUAAUCUAUUUUGACUCUAAAAUGAAAGGCUAUUAGGAUUAAUUUUUCACAAAUAUUUUUUCUUCAAAAACAAAGAGGUAACAUGUGCAAGUAAAAUGAAGAAUUCAUCUGCAUAGUCAUAUAGUGUCUUUAUUUAUUAUAGUAGGUAAUUAUGAUUAAACCAUAAUAUUAUUGUUAUGCAUUUCUUCUGAGUUCAUGAUGGCAAUAUAGUUGCAUAAUAUAACAAUACAUAUGAUCUUUUCAUUGAAAUUGACAACUUAAUCUAAAUCGUACUCAGCAGUGCAUUGACAAGUUAAAUUAAUGCACUUCGCAAAUAGAUCAGUUGGACACAGAUCUGGUGGACAUUCAUUGCUAAAAAGGCAUGGAAGAACAUCAGGGAUGCCUAAUAAGAAUAAAAUAAAUGUUAGUACAUAUGAUGUAAUAUUAUAUAAAAAUUAAAGGGCUAAAUAAAUUUUUACAUGCAUGUUGUUGUUUGAAGAAGUUAAAACGAAUUUAGAUUAAUCAAAAGAUCAACACUUCCAGCACGAGGUGUGUGCUUGGAAGAAAUGGUUAAAUCAAAAGAUAACAAGGUCAACUUAAGAACAUUAUAAGAAACUUCAAAAAUGUUGAACGAACUUUAUUUUUAGUCCUCAUAAAAAAAAUUGACAUAUUUUUAACACAUAAUAAACUAAAUAUUAAUUUUUCUAAACAUCAAAUUUUGACCUAGAAUUCAAAUUUUGAACUAAUAUUUCUCAGAGGAACUUUGUAUUAUUAUGUUCUAAAUAAAUAUGUCAAGAAUUAUUUAAAUGUUUAAAAAUUUAAGUAUAAUUAAUCAAAUUUUAAUUUUACAAGGACUAAAAUUUUAUGUUCUAAAUUUUUUUAUUAAGACCAAAACAUGUCACUUUUCUUAUGAUGACUAAAAACAAAAUUAACUAUAUAUAUAAGGAUAAAAAACUUAUUUAACCCUAAGUUAAAUUAAAAAGCUAAAAAUGAUAUGAAACGUUACUCACUUUGGUUGGUUGCGACCAUAAAUAGAGAAACAAAGAUGAGUAAACCAUAAAAGAAACAUAGAAUUCGAGCCAUACUUUUUUUUUUUCUCUUUUGCAUGUAAUAAAUGGAAAACAUUUUGAUCAAUUUAUACAAAAAAUAAUGUUUUGUGUACUUCAAUGAAAUAGGUUUUAACCCUUAAAGGUUACAAGAAGGCGUUCAAAAAAUUGAAAUUAUUGGUAAAUAUUUCGAUAUUACAUCAAUUUGUCAUGUUUAUCUCUUUGCAAUUUCAAUUAAUCACUUAACUUUAGUAAAUAGAUCAUAAAAAAUCUUAAUAAUCAUCAAAGAUCAUUAUACUUUUUAUUAAACUUUUAAUAUAUGGUUUCUGUUAGUUUUUUUUUUUUUUUUUUUUUUUGCAUUUUCCCUGUUGUUUCCGUGGUGGUUGUGAUGCGUGAUGGUGAGGUGUGGUGAUGUGGUGGUGGUGAUGAUGUGUGGUGGUGGUGGUGAUUUGGUUUGAUGUGGUGGUGGUUUUGCGUGGCUGUAUGUGGGGGUUGACUUUGUGUGGUUUAGAUGGGUGGUCAUGGAUAAUUUUGGACUGGGAUUUGGUGACAGAAUGCUUUGCGGACGGGAUCUAUAAAAGGGGGUGGUUGGUGUUUUUUUUUUUACAGUAAAACAACUUCACUCAAUAGAAUAAGCAACAAUCAUUAUAAACAGAUUGAGACACCUGAAUUUGGGCAUUCCCCAUCCAUUGUCGAAAAUCAAAGUUGAGAGAAAAACUAACACAAACAUAGUUGAUCAUACACAGAGAUUGUUCAAAAGCCAAAAGGACAUAACCAAACCAAGAACGAAAAACUAGCAUCAGUUCAUUCAACCUCUUACAAACUCGGAACCUAGCAAUAUAAGAAUGAGAAUCCAAUCUCUUUUUCAAUCCAGUUACAGAUAGUAUCUUUGACUUGUGUUCGCACAUUUUGACUAUCAUUGGUCUCAACAUUGUCCAAUUUUUCCAGAUGUUUGAUAGCUAGUGGAUGAGUAAAGAAGUUGUUGCAAUGGGAGUCAGCCUCGUAAGCUUUCUUAGUAUAAAUGGGUUGCCAACAUACAUUGGCUACUUUGUUCCAAAAGACAUAACCCUUUUGGGGAUUUUUGUCAAACAACAAAAAUGCAUCCUUAAACUAGAAAAAACAGAGACAUAAACUAGAACAUAAACAAACAGCAGAAGCCAUAUCUGAAGGGCCCAAGGAUUACAAACCGUAAACACUACAUGGUGGCUUUGGAGGUGGUCGAACGAGUGCCAAGAGAUAAAGUGUAGCAGAAGUAAUGGACUCAUCAAUUUUGUCAAGCUUCUCGUAGUUCGGCGGUGGUGGCUCGGGUGGAGGUCGUGUAGUCAGGAGAAGAAAAGCAUGUUUGGUUGUCGGUGACAAGAGAAGAUCACCUCUUAGGGUCGAAUCCACUAACAGAUCUAGACUUUUGUUGUGGUUGUCGCAAGCAGGAAAGAUGGAGGUUGUGGAUGAUUUUUGUGGAAGGGUCAUGGUGGUAUGGGAAGGCAUAUGACUGAGGCAUGAUGGCAGUGGGGUGGUUAUUGAGAAAUAUGGCCUUGAAAGCAAAGGGGAGGGACUAGGAACACCUAGGUGUGGCGACCCAUAUGGUCGGGAAAGGCAGAUCACGAAGAUCUGGGUUGAUUUGCCGUCGUUGAACCAUGGUGAAACCCUAGUUUGGGUGACUGAAAGCAUGUUAAGUUUAGAUAGAGAUGGUAUGCUUUCUCUCUAAAAACACAUAAGGGGGUGGUUGGUGUUGCUUAGGUGAGGAGGUGGGUGUUUUAGUGGUAGUUGUGUAGGUGAUUUCUUUUAGAGGCCGCCUCUGUUAUUCAGGUCCAUUUUCGUCGUCGCUAGCUCUUGUUUGAGUUUUAGGGUGUUAAGGUGUUUAGGGUGCUUUGAGGGUGGGUGUCCUUCCAGAUGAGAAUUUUUUCCUUUUUGAUUGAUGUUUGCACCACCACAAAUCAUGUGAUUUGUGUUACAUAUUGUGUGCUGGAUUUUGGUGGGCUAAUCACUUUUGCUUCGAGAUUGGUAGUUGGAGUCUAGCUACAAUCUUGUUUGCCUGGCUAUGGUGUUUCUUUGGUGGACCAGGGGUGAUGGGUUCCCGUAUCAUUUGGUCAUGAAGUCUGGUGGGACGAUCUCUUUUGAUUCGACAUCGGAAAUCAAUUUUUUUUUCAAGUUUUUUUUGGGCUUUUUUUGUGUUCUUUCGGUGGGAAGGAGGUUGAGAGGUGGUGGAUGUUGGGUGAACUUUAGAAUAGUGGCUCAACUUUGGUGAUGAGGAUGGGUGUUUCAUUUAGAGGGGAGUUAUUUUGGGAUGAGUAGUGGCGAUGGGUGGUUAUGGAUAUCGUUUUCCAAUGGUCUGUUUUAGGUGGUGAUGCUUAUUUUGGUGGGUGUUGAAGGUAGAGUUUGGCUAGGUGUUGUGUGUUGGGAUGUCUUUUAUGGUGUUCAUUUUUGUGCGUUCCGCCUUUAUACGGCGCCUUUGAUUUGUAUUCUUUGAAUCACUGAUCAUUGUUCGUCUUGAGCAGGGAUUAGGUUUUUAAAUAAAAUUUGUUGUUCCAAACAAAAUAAUGGUAGAUAAGAGACACUAAAAAUAUUUGGGUAGAAAUUUAAACAUUGCUGACGAAUGAUAAACAAAAUCUUUGGGUAGAAAUUAUUCACCAACAGGUGAAAAUAUUUAUUAUUGACAAUUUUAUGAGAUCAAAGACAAAAAAAAUAUUGUAACAUCCUAAGUAGAUUCAUAAAAAACUGUCGGGAGUCGAGCGCCGCAACCCAAACUCAUCCUCAUCUCACUAAAUUCCUUCAAUUGAACAGAUCAUCAUCACUUGUUAGUCCUUAUGUGAUUUCAAGUGUGUGUUUGGUUUGUUUUCUUUGAGCUUUUGUUGCCUUUUUCAUUGAUAUGUGUUUCAAUUCAUAUCCACUUUUUGCAUAUGUUUGGAUAUGAUGUGUUAAAAUAGGUUACUCCUUUGUUUGUUUAUCGGUGCUUGUUCAUAAAGAAGCAUUAUUCGUCUUUCAGAAAUUAAAAAUGUCCUUAACCUGUUUGAUAAACUGCUCAUAAAGAAAUAGCUUUGUUUUUCCCUUUUAAUAAGGAGUAUUGAUUUUCCCUUUUAAUAAGGAGUACUUUUUCCCUUUCAAUAACGAGUUUUUGUGGGCUAUUAGAGACAAUGAGUUGCAUAUCUUGGAAUUGUCGUGGUCUAGGAAAUCCACGGAUGGUUUGCACUUUCAAAAAGCUUUUACGAGAUAAAAAUCCCACUUGUGUAUUUCUCUCAGAAACUAAGAAAAAAGAUUUUGAGAUGAAUAAGUUUUGAAAUAUACAAGGUUUAUAUGGGGUUGUUGUAGUUAAUUGUACUGGAGAAGGUAAAAGGCGUGUUGGCGGUCUUGCAAUGUUUUGAAAGGAAGAGGUUGAAGUGGAGGUAUUAUCCAUUUCCUCUAAUCAUAUUGAUGUCUUAAUUACUAUCGAGGAUGGAGAUGAGAAUUGGAGGCUUACUGGCAUAUAUGGUUUUCCAGAAUCUCAAAUGAAGUAUAAAACAUGUGAGUUAACUAAUCAGUUAGCACUGAUGGAAAGCACUGAUAAGGGGCUUUAAUGGGUGAUUUCAAUCCGAUUCUUUCACAUGAUGAGAAGGAAGGUGGGAAUUUUGGCAGCUCUCAAAUAAUUUCAAUGUUUCGAGACACCGUCCAAAAUCACAAUCUUUCUGACUUCGGCUUUGAGGGUGACAAAUUUACCUAGCAUAAUAGACAAGAUGGUGCUUAUAAUAGUAAGGCUCGCCUUGAUAGGAUGAUAGCUACACCACCCUAGUCCUCGUUUUAUCAUUUGGCCUCAGUGGUGCACUUAACAAGGUAUGCUUGAAAUCAUUUGCCUUUGUGGUUGCGACUUUCUUCUAGGAAGCCAAAGAAAAAACAAAAUUUUCUUAAACUACAACGAUUUGAAGAAUGUUGGUUGCAUGAUAGUGGAACUUUGGAAGCAGUUACAGAUGCUUGGGAGAUGGAAGGGGAUUUUAUGCCUGAUAAAAGCAAUGAUAUUGUGAACGAUCUUUGUAAAUGGAGUAAGGAUCAUUUUGGCGAUGUUCCCAACCAGAUAAAAAUUACUCAAGAGAAGUUGGAUAAUCUUAAUAAACAAUCACACCAAGAGGGAGUAAUGUCUGAAAUUGGAUAAGUGGAGGCUAGAUUGAAUGAUUUACUGGAAAGUGAGAAAAUUUGGUAAGCGCAGAGGUUUCGUGCUUUGUGGUUAGAAUAUGGAGAUAAAAAUACAAAGUUUUUUCAUUAAAAAAAAAAACGUCUCAAAGAAAAUCUAGAAAUUGGGUGGAUACUAUUUGAGAUGAUCAUGUGGAGAAAUUUGAUGAUGAGGAAGACAUUUCUAGAGUUUUUAAUAAUUUCUUUCAGGAUCUUUUCUCCACCAGUCACCCUGAAAGAAUUUCUGAAAUUGUGGAAGUAGUCAAAGAUAGACUGUCGGAUUCUAUAUGUAACAUAUUGGAAAGAGAGUUUACAGAAAAUGAAGUUUUCUUAGCCGCAAAUAAUUUAAAGCCUCAUGUUGUCCCAGGUCCUCACGGAAUGCCAUCUUUAUUUUACCAAUAGAUUUGUGAAUAAAAUAUUCUAACUGUAUUUUAUAAUCAUAUAAAACCAUAAAUACAAGAAUCUUCAAUACUCUUUGAGGCCAACAGAAACUACACUUAAACAUAAUCCACUUCUUGAAACCAUAAAUACAAAACUUUUCAAUCCUUUGAAGUGAAAAUCUUUUAAACUCUCUUGGUCAUCAAAAACUUCUCAACUCGCUACAUCGGAUUCAUAUCUCUUUGAGAGCAAAAUAAAAUUCACUUCCUACUCAUAAAACCAUAAAUACAAGAAUCUUCAAUACUCUUUGAGGCCAACAGAAACUACACUUAAACAUAAUCCACGCCUUGAAACCAUAAAUACAAGACUUUUCAAUCCUUUGAAGUGAAAAUCUUUCAAACUCUCUUGGUCAUCAAAAACUUCUCAACUCGCUACAUCAGAUUCAUAUCUCUUUGAGACGAAAAUAAAAUUCACUUCCUACUCAUAAAACCAUAAAUACGAGAAUCUUCAAUACUCUUUGAGACCAACAGAAACUACACUUAAACAUAAUCCACUCCUUGAAAGCAUAAAUACAAGACUUUUCAAUCCUUUGAAGUGAAAAUCUUUCAAACUCUCUUGGUCAUCAAAAACUUCUCAACUCGCUACAUUAGAUUCAUAUCUCUUUGAGAGGAAAAUAAAAUUCACUUCCUACUCAUAAAACCAUAAAUACAAGAAUCUUCAAUACUCUUUGAAGUCAACAGAAACUACACUUAAACAUAAUCCACUCCUUGAAAUCAUAAAUAUAGGACUUUUCAAUCCUUUGAAGUGAAAAUCUUUCAAACUCUCUUGGUCAUCAAAAAUUUCUCAACUCGCUACAUCAGAUUCAUAUCUCUUUGAGAGCAAAAUAAAAUUCACUUCCUACUCAUAAAAUCAUAAAUACAAGAAUCUUCAAUACUCUUUGAGGCCAAGAAAAAUUACACUUAAACAUAAUCCACUCCUUAAAACUAUAAAUACAAGAGUUUUAAAUCCUUUGAAGUGAAAAUCUUUCAAACUCACUCAGUCAUCAAAAACUUCUCAACUCGUUACAUCACAUCCAUAUCUCUUUGAGAGCAAAAUAAAAUUCACUUUCCACUCACAUGAAUCAACUGGCUGAAAGAAGGGCACAUAUGACACCCACAUAUUCAUCUUUUUAUACUUUUUAUUAAGAUAACGUUUGUAAAUUAUUAUUUUUAAUAUAUAAUUUAAAUGAAUUGUAAAAUAUGAAUAAAAAAAAAAAACAGUCUAAAUUCUUGUAUUCUCUUUAUAUAUUGUGUAGAUGUUUUAACAUCAUUCAAAGUGUAAUUUAGAAUUAUAGACACGCUACACUAAUUGAGAUCAUGGUCACUUUGGAAGAAUUUUCCUAUCUUAAAUACUAUAGUGAAAUCACACAAUUGUAAGGAUUAGACUAACACACAUUAAAUAACUAUGAUAGCUCUCGGUACAUGCAAAUCAAACUACACAUACAGUUAAAUGUAUCGUUUUAAAUUGAAUUUUUUUUUUACAAAGUGCAAGAUCCAAUUUUUGAAGGGACACAAUUAUAACCCUCUUUCAUGUGACCGUUAUUUUCACUUAAUUUGAAUCAUGAAUACAAUGUGUGGGAUCCAUCUAUCUCACCUAGUGUAAUCAUAGCCGCUUUGAUAAAUGAUCCCUGUUUAUGAUCCAAUUGCGAAUUCGCUUAGAGCGAGCCAAUUUUUUUUAGUGAAUUUGCCUUAAAUCUCUAUUUAUGAUUUAGAGUAAUGCUAAUAAGACAUUCUUUUGAAUAUCCACUCUAAUAUUCACUUUUUUAUUCGUUUACAUUUUAAAAAUUGAAUCCAAAUAAAGUGGUAGGAUAUAGAUUGAUUUCAUCUAAUAAAAGAGUGAAUGCUAAAUAGAGUGUUAAAAAAUGAAUGUUACUUGCAUUCCUUUUAUGAUUUAUUGCACAAAACGUAACACUUUAUCUAAAAAAUUAACUUUUACCUAACAUAGAAUCUAUUUCUAACUAACAUACAAAUUAAGGGUGGUCUUAUUUCUAACAUGUGUGACAAGUAUAGAAAAAUGGUAUCCUACAAUAUUUUUAUAGUUAAAAUACAAUUUCAUUAAUAAAAAUUUGACAGUAAAUCAAAAGUUAAGACUGCAAAAAUAUAAGGCGAAGUCUCUUCAAUCCAUUUACAGUCUAGAUUAUGAAGAGUGUAUUGAGCUAAAUAAUGGGUAGCUUGGUUAGCCUCACGCCUAACAUGCAAGAAUCUUAAACUACAAAAAAAGAUAUUAAAAUUAAUGAAGUCUCCAAUAAUAGAUCCAACAUAGUUGGGAUAUUGUUGAUGAGUGUUCAGCUCCUGAAUCACAUUGGAAGCAUCAAAUUUUGCUAUAUGAUUCUGAAAACACAUGUCUUUAGCAAAUUCCAACCCCUUCCGCAUAGCUAAAGCUUCUGCUACAUCCGAAUCUAGUAAUGAAAGGACUUGCCAACAACUAGCAGCAACGACAACACCUUCAUUAUCUCUCACAACAACACCAAUACCCCAUUUAUCCCCCUCGAUCGAGCCUGCUGCAUCAACAUUUAACUUAUAGAAACCACUAAUAGGGGUCGUCCAAUGAACAUUAGAUAUGGUUAAAUUUGGACCUCCGUUUAACAUUUUCAACAACAUUGUACUAGCACUAUUAAAAUUAACAAUGGAUCUUUGUGCCUUUUGUACCGUGGCAACCACAUCAACUUCAGUCCCCUCAAAAUAUUUUUUAUUUCUAGUGCAUCAUAUUUCAUAACACUAGGCCAACACAUUAACUAUAAUAUCCUCAAUUGCAUCAAUAAUAUUUCUUUUCAACCACUCCUGCAAUGGUACGUACCUAGAAGCAUGUGAAUUGAACACCACACCUAAAGAAGAAGCAAACCAUAUUUGCUUUGACCACUGACAGUCCAUAAAGAGAUGUGAAAUUGUCGCAUUAUGUUGCCCACAAAAAACACACAAUGGAUCACAACAAAUUUCUCUUUUAAAAAGAUCAUUUUUGACCGGUAGUUUUUCAUGUAAAAUAAAUGGAUGUGUCUUGGAAUACUUUUUAUUUUCCACAAUUUUUUCCACUCUUGUUGAUCAAUGUCUUGUCCUGAGCUAUGGGAUACAAGUACUUCACGCCUUGCCUCUAAGAAACGGUAUGCACUCUUCACCGAGAAAAAAAAAUAAAAAUAGCAGACCAUGUAGCACCCCUCACAAAAUCAUCUUGUAAUUGCUCGAAAGAAAUUGGCAACUAAAGAAUUUGUUGAGCCUCGAAAGAAAUUGGCAACUGAUAUUUUCAAAACAAAAGAAAAUAAUAUUGUCAUUCUUAAGUGUUUGUUUAGGGUUUUGUAAAAAAAAAAAAUUAAAAAAAUAUCCAUUUUGUCUCUAAUUGAAAAGCUAUUAAAGUUAACUUUUCUAUUUUGUUUUUCAAAGACAAUGAAGUAAAAACUCUUUUUUUUUUUUUAGUGAUUUUUAUGGAUAGUAAACAAACAAAAAUAGUUUCAAUUUUUUUUUAAAAACUUCAAAAAAAUCUCUAAAUUCUUUGAAGAUCAAAACAACUUUUUCAAAUUGUGCUCCUACCUUAGCAGAGUGUGCUCUAUAAACAAAAGAUUAUCAGCUUUUUCGAAAUCUUACGUAAAAUAUAGAAGGAGAAUGAACAAUUCAUCUACAUAGUCGUAUAGUGUCCUUAUUUAUUAUAGGGUUAAUAGUGUUUUUGGCCCCUGCAGUAUAGUGCACUUUUGGUUUUAGUCCUUGUAAAAGUUUUUUUUUAGAUUCCACCCUUGAAAAAUGAAGAUUCUUCAAGAUUGGCCCCUCACCCCAAUGAGUCAGCAGAAUUUCCUACGUGGCAGUGAUGUGUCAAUUUCUUUUCUUUUUUUUAAUUUUUUUUCAUGCCACGUGGCAUUUAUGAUUUUUAUUUUUUUUUAAAAAAUCAAAAAAUUAAUAAAAAAAAUGGAAAACUUAAUAAUGAUUAAAAAAAUCUGGAAAAAUUAUAAAUAUAAUUUUAAAAAACGUGAAAUUUAAAAUCGAAAAAAUCUUAAAAAAUUAAAACAAAACCUGGAAAUUUUAUGAAAAAAUUUAAAAAUUCUGAAAAAAAUAAAAAAAUAAAAAAAUCUGGUAAAAAGAAAAAUAAUGAAAAAAACACUAUUAACCCAAAAACAAUAAUAAUGAAAAAAUUCGGGAAAAAUAAAAUAAAAAUCUGGAAAAAAAUAUUCGAAUAUUUUUUUCGAAUAUAUAUUGAAAUUUUCGAAUAUUUUUCUCCAGAAUAUCAUAUUUAAAAAAACAAAAUUUACGAAAAAAGAUUAAUCAUAUUUAAAAAAACUAACUUUUCGAAAAAAAAUUAUGGAAAAGAUUUAAAUAAAACUUCUUACUUUUGAAAAUAAAAAUAUGAAUUUUUUCCAGAAUUUUUUAAUUUUAUCGGAAUUGAAAAAAAUCUUAAAAUUUAAUUUUUUUUUCUAAAUAUAUUAAUUUUUAGAAAAUUUUAAUAUAUAUUAAUCUUCCCAAAAACAAUAAUAAUGAAAAAAUUCGGGAAAAAUAAAAAAAAAUCUGGAAAAAAAUAUUUGAAAUUUUUUUUCGAAUAUAUAUUGAAAUUUUCGAAUAUUUUUGUCCAGAAUAUCAUAUUUCAAAAAACAAAAUUUUCGAAAAAAGAUUAAUCAUAUUUAAAAAAACUAACUUUUCGAAAAAAAUUAUGGAAAAGAUUUAAAUAAAACUUCUUACUUUUGAAAAUAAAAAUAUGAAUUUUUUCCAGAAUAUCAUAUUUCAAAAAACAAAAUUUUCGAAAAAAGAUUAAUCAUAUUUAAAAAAACUAACUUUUCGAAAAAAAUUAUGGAAAAGAUCUUAUUUAUAAAAGGUCUUAAGUUGUCUUAAACAGCUUUUUGGAGCCAAAAUUUGAGGUUAAUUUGGUCAUUUUAAUAUUGACAUCUCAUUAUUAUUAUUAUUAUUAUUUAAUAUACGACGGAGGUAUCUCGGGGUGCCAACCUAGUUGGGAUGUCGACGACGCCUCUUGAUGCCUGUUUUCACUCCUUGCUUAUCAAAAAAAAAAAAAAAAUUAAUAUUUAAUAUAUAUUUAAGCAAUUGAACAAUAAUCUUAGUUUGUUUGUUUUUUCGUUUUUUUUUUCCUUUCAUAAUUUUAUUUUGUUUUUCUUUCACAUUAUUAUUUAAUAAUAAUAAUUUAGAUUUAAUUAUUUAAUAAUAAUAAUUUAUAUUUAAGCAAUUGAACAAACCUUUGUUAUAUUUAUGCCAUAAACUACUAAAUAUAUAUUUAAGCAAUUGAACAAACUUUCGUUAAAUUUGUGUCAUAAACUACUAAAUACUUUUUUUUUUCUUCCAUAAUCUAAGUUUUUUUUUUUUUCUUCCAUAAUCUAAGUUUUUUUUUUUUGUUUCACCUUUAUUUUAUUUUUUUGAAAGAAUUUGUUUCAGGUUUAUAAUUCUCAUUAUCUUUUUAUUCACAUAAUAUUUUUAUUUAUUUCAGCUGUCAAAGAUACAAGCUUCUAUUAAAAGCAAGGAUUUCAAACAACUUGGAGAUUCUAUUGAAGAGGGUGCUUCAUAUACUAUAGAAAAGUUUUUGGUCCAAUUUAAUAAAGAAAAAUUUAAGCCAACAAAUCACAAAUACAAGCUAACUUUGAUAGGAAGCACUAUUAUAACCAAAACAUCUUAUGAUAAAAUUUCUGCAAAUUUGUUUAACUUCACAAAAUUUCAACACAUUAUUGGUGGUACUGAUAAGGGUGUUUUAAUGGGUUAGUACUUUAUACUAAACUUACAAAUUAAAUAUUAACUUAUUUUUAGAUUUUUAUGAUUUCUUUUUUAUGAUUCUACAACCAUGUUUAUUUGUAGAUGUCAUUGGCCAUGUGGUUGGAACGACUGACAUUAAGGAUGUUCAAGUAAAAGGAAAAAUGACUAAAAUCUUGGACUUGACUCUUGAAGACCUUGAGUUAGUGGAGUUUUUUUUUUUUUUUUUUUUUUUUUAAUCUUUGUUUUAACUACAUAUAUAGAUGUUUUUUUUUAUUAUUUUUCUUACUGUAAUAAAAAUUAUUUUGUAAAUUUCAGGAGCAAUACAAUCAUUUGUACUUUAUGGGGUCAUUUUGCUGAACAAAUGAAUAGCUAUAUGAGCACAAAUGGAAAUACUUUUCCAAUUGUAGUUGUUAUGCAUCUAUGUCGACUUAAUGUUUAUGUUUUUGGUGGUAAUUAGAUUAUCUUUUUAAAAGUAAUUAUUUUUAAUUUCUUUGUAUUGUUAAUGAUAUAUAUCACUUAAUACCUUUUGGUGUAUCAUUUUAAUAGGUAUGUAUGGGAUUGCCAAUGCAUUCAAUGAAACCAAGUUGCUUAUAAAUCCCAACAUUGAAGAAUGUUGCAACUACAAGAAAGGGUAUGCACUAACCUAUCGUUAUUACACAUAUAUUAUAUAUUGAAAAUUAUUGGAAAUUUUUUUUUUGGUUAAGUAUGAUUUUCUUAUAUUUUACGAUAGGAUGAAAACUGGCAAUGCAUCUUUGACCCAAGGGGUCACCCAGAUGACAGCACAAUCUUCACUUUCUUUGUCUAAUGAUCUACUCCAAACAAAAAACAUGACAAUUUUAGAUAUUACACAAGCUAAACAGGUAUACAACUUUAUGCUAAUUUGCUUUGACUUAUACUAUUAUACUAUGUUGUUAAAUAAUUCUUAAUCCAUAUCUUUGUAUUUUCAUUUUCUAAUUAUUAUUCUUUAAAUAAAUUUAAUAACUAUGCAGGUGGGUGCAUAUGUUGUCUUGGCUAAAAUUAUUGGCAUAGACACCAAUAAGAAAUGGUGCUACGUUUCAUGUAAUAAGUGUUUCAAGAAGGUUGAACCUGUUUGUACAAAAUACUUUUGUGAAAAAUGUGAUACAUUAGUCGAUGCUACAAAAAGGUAACAUUUUCCAUAUUAAUUUUUCUUAUGUUUCACUCAUUUCUUUUAAGUUAAACUCAAUUAUUCUUUAUAUUCGGUUACUUAUAUAAUUAGCAAAUCUAAUUUCAAUUUUUUUUUCUUUCUAAUAACUUGCUAUGUACAUGAUUAUAUAAACGACAAGUUGCAUCAUCACCACUUUUAUUCUUUUGGUCACUGAUUUUUUUGGUUAGUGAUUCCUUAUAAGGUUAUUGAAUCUUUCAUGUAUAUUCACUUUUCAUUUUAGGUUUAUGGUGCACAUUCAUGUUAUGGAUGAUAGUGGAUCAACUACCAUUGUGUUGUUUGAUGGAGUUAUUUCACAACACUUUGGAAAGACUACAAAAGAACAAAUGGUAUUGAUAAUGAACUUAAGUAUAUUGUUUUUUUGUAUUUUUUAUGUUAUAUUAUUAAAAUAAUAAACAUUGGUUUUAAUUGUUUACUAAUCCAAAUCAAAAACAGGGAAGGACCACAAAUGAUUAUCCAACCGAGUUUGACACCUUACGUGAUAAGAAAAUGCUUUUCAAACUGGAGAUCAAUCAAAAAAUGUUCAACAGAGGUUUUAUACCUAUGCAGUCAAAAAGAUGUCUGAUGACAAUGAAAUCAUUGAUGAGUUUAAGAAAAAGUAUUAUAUUGAGUGUCAUGCUGCUCCUCCGAAUGUUGAGGAAGAUGAUGUUGAUAUCAUAGGUCCUAUUACUCCUCAAACUGAUGAUAACAUUAAGGUAGUUAAAUAUUCUUUAUAUCUACUUUAAAAGUAUUCAUAAAACUUAUUAAAUUAACUAUUUCUAUAAAUGUUUAUUAUUCAUGUAGCUUCUUGGUGAUGAAGCUAAUUCUAUUCCUAAAGAUACUCAUCCAUCCAAGUCUUUGAGAAAGAGAAACGCCGACUCAGAUGCAACAUAUAUUGACGUUGAUUGUCAAACUCGGUCGUCCACCACUAAAUUGCAGAAAGUUGUCAAAAUUAAGCAAGAAGCUCAAGAUUGUUAUUUUAGCUCUUCUUAGUCUACACUACUUAGAUUUAUUUUGUUUCAUUUUUCUUUUUUACUCAAUAAGUACCUUCUUAAUUGUUAUUUGUUUUGGAAUUUAUCUUCCCAUUUGCUAAUUUGGUUGCUAUAACAUUUGGUACUUUGGUGCAUGUCAUACAUCCAAAAAUAGAAUGCUUAUGUUCUUUUUUGUCCACAUCAAUGUCACUCUAUCUAUAUAAAAAAAAAAAAAAAAUUAUCUCUAUCGAAUGAUGUGGUGGUAACCAAAAAUCACUUGCGUUGGUGACCAAAAUAAAUCACCUUACUUUUUUUUAUUGUGUUUCGUAGCAUUAUCAAUAUCCUGUCUUCAUAUGGUGGCAAAAACUAUAUGCAUGCCUAUUCUUAAAUGAUAACUCAUAUUUUGCUAUAAGCACAAAUAAAUUUUAUGUGAAAAACCAACUUUAAAAAAAUGUUAAUUCAACCAAGUUAUUCAAACUAUUAGCAAGAGUCCUUCUUUUUUAACUUGAAAAGUGAUUUUUUUUACUUCUUAAAAAGGCUAUAACAAAUAGACUCAUAAACUACUAGGUAACUUUUUUCUUAUACUUUUUUAUAUGGUUAUGUAAUUUGUAUUUCUCCUUAUGCCAUUUAAAAUAAUCGUGUAUAAUCAUACAAAUUUAUUUUAUUUCAUGCCAGGUUGAUCAUCAUCUUUAUGAUGAAUUUUCAAUUUGGAAUCAGCAAAAAUCAUGGACACAAGACUUAGUUUUACCGAUUCAAUUGUUGAGAAUUGAUACGUCUUUAUUAUCCACAAAUUUGUAUAUUAUUACUCAAGUCAAACUUAUCUUAGUAGUUGCAUUUGGUUAUCCGAUGUGAUAACGAGAAUUCUAAAUUACUUCAAGUUUUUAUUGGUUUUAUUUUGGACACGUUAAUUCAUUCUCACUUACAACUAUUAUUGUUUCAUUUACGAUUACCUUAUUUAUUAAUCAAUGUCAUAUCUAACUUCCCGUGCAUCGCACGGGUCUAAAUACUAAUUUAAAUAAAACUUCUUACUUUUGAAAAUAAAAAUAUGAAUUUUUUUCAGAAUUUUUUAAUUUUAUCGGAAUUGAAAAAAAUCUUAAAAUUUAAUUUUUUUCUAAAUAUAUUAAUUUUUAGAAAAUUUUAAUAUAUAUUAAUCUUUUCCAGAUUUUUUUUUUAUUUUUCCUGAAUUUUUUCAUUAUUUUUCUUUUUACCAUAUUUUUUUAAUCAUUUUUUAUUUUUAUUAAUUUUUUCAGAAUUUUUAAAUUAUAUUUUUAAUUUUUCCAGAUUUUUUUAAUCAUUAUUAAUUUUUCCAUUUUUUUAAAAUUUUUUUAAUUAUUUUUAUUAAUUUUUUGAUUUUUUUUCGUUUUCUUAAUUUUUUUUAUUUUUAUUUAAAAAAAUCAUAAAUGUCACAUGGCGUUCAUUUACACAUGUGGCAUGAAAAAAAAAAAAAUUUGACACGUCACAGCCACAUAGGAGAUUCUGCUGACUCAUUGGGGUGAGGGGCCAAUCCUGAAGAAUCUUAAUUUUUCAAGGGUGGAAUCUAAAAAAAAAAAUUUGCAGGGGCUAAAACCAAAAGUGCACUAUAUUACAGGGGCCAAAAACACUAUUAACCCUUUAUUAUAUUAGGUAAUUAUGACUACACCAUGAUAUUAUUGUUUUCCAUUUCUUCUAUGAGUUCAUGAUAGCAACAUACUUCCAUAAUAUAACAAUACAUAUGAUCUUUUCAAUGAAAUUGACAACUUAAUCUAUAUUGUAGAACUCAGCACUGCAUUGACAAGAUAAAUUAAUGCACUUCGGAAAUAGAUCAAUUGGACACAGAUCUGGUGGAC